UUGUGAGCGUGCAGUGAGUGAAGAUGUGGAGAAUGGAAUCUGCAGCAGUGAAGGCAGUGUGAGGGAGCCCCUGGGUCCCCAGGGCACAUCAGCAAGCGGCCAUGGACACAGAAGCAUCCUCAGAAGAUUGCCGGGCAAGGGGUUCAGCUGCCAUCCCGUGCACAUCUUGGUGCUGAUCCUGCUCCUGUCGCUGCUGCUGGCGUUGGCGGUGGCCUUGGCUGUGCAGUCAGCACCACAGGUUCUGGGCUGUCCCCAUGGCUGGGUUGGAUACAAUGGAUUCUGCUACUACUUCUCAAGGGAUCAGGGCACCUGGGAGCAGGGUCAGGAGCGGUGCUCCGAGCUCGGGGCCUCCCUGGCCAUUCUGAAGGAUGAGGAAAUGGUGAGUGAGGGGCUGCGGGCGCUGUGGGGUGGCUGAGGGGAGCCUGGGGGUGCUCCUGGGCCGGGCUCGGUGCUGCUGGGGCUGGGGCUGCAGCCCUGUGCCGGGGCCUUGCAGGGAAGGAGCCCCGGGGCCGUGUCCCCCCGAGGGGCCGGGGCAGCUCCCACUGCUCUCUCCUUGGCAGGAUUUGUUCUUCCUCCUCCGCGGGAACGUCGAUUACUGGGUCGGGCUGCGCAGACGGGGCGAGCAGCUGCAGUGGGGGGACGGCAGCAGCUUCAGCUCCUCGGUUCCUGUCCUUGGUAAUGCCGAGUGUGUGUGCCUGGUUGAUGAUGAAUUCAGGAGUGAGAGCAGCUCGAAUCAGCAUCGGUAUCUGUGCAGCAAGGCCCGAGCUCCCCUGUAACAGGGGCUGGAGAAAGGAGCUUCUCCACACUGGGCAGUCCCAGCUUCACCUGUGAGCCCGGCACAGGGCUGUCCUUUCUCAGCUGCACCCUGUGCCUUGCACUUGCUCUCAGGGUCACCUCAGUGCCUGUUCAUCCCCAGUGCCAGCGCUGGGCUGGCUGUUCAAAGGAAAAGUCUCUGCAAUCCAUCCUGCCAGCCAUGCUAGCUGGAGUGAGGGGAUUGGCCUCAUUGCACAACAAGCUGGAAUGGGAAAUCCAAAUCACCCUGGGCUCUUGGAAAUCAUCCCCAAGUGGCUGAAGGUGGUGGGACUUUUGGACUGUCCUUGGAAGAAGAUGAAGAACUGACAUCUGCUGAGGAGGAAUCCCACAUUUGGCGUCAGGCACCUGACUGUGGAGAAAGGUUUGUCUGUCGGUCUGUCUGUCUGUCUGUUGCAAAGGAUCUGACUGUUCUGCUGUAGGAGAAAUCCCAGACUGGAACAGGUCAAGGAUUUGCCUUCCUGUGGGAGGAACAAUGAUGUAAUGUGACUCCAACCCCCGUUCCUCUUAUCCACUGUGUGGUGAGGAGUGAGGUAAUCAAGGAUAAAAUGAAGCCCAGGAAGGAGACAACAGUGUGGGCAAUGUCCAUUUUCUGGCUUUGGCAUGCUUCUCAUUUUCUCUCUCUGAUUGCCUUGAUAAUUACAGUAAUUUCACGACCAUAUGGCGCACCGGACUAUA